AGACACUUGGCAGAGAGCUGUUGGAGCAGGCCAGCGGUGAGAUCAUUCGCGUGUCUUAGGUCCGGAUGGGCUGGAGCGCCAGGAUAGACCAGAAGUACAUGUAAUUCAGAUAGGACAAGAAGCCUUGUGGAGAGGAAGAGGGCACAGGAGAUGAGACACAGAGUUCACCCACCCAAUCCCAAUCACAGUCCUGUCCCCAGGCCCAAUUGCAUGCCCUGCUCUGCAUCAAACCCCAUCCCCAAACCUAUUCUUAAACCCAUCACCAAUUCCAUUCCAUACCCUAACCUAUUCCCAAACCCAUCUCCAAACCGAAACUCACCUUCAUCCCCUACACUGUCCCUAACCCAUACGCAAACUCCAACCCAGUCCCAUCCCCAUUAUCCAGCCCCAUGUGCAUCCCCAAUCCCGCCUCCCACUUCAGUCACUUCCUAUCUAGCCCUGUCCACAACCCCACCCCGUCCCAAAUGCUAUCCCAAAUGCUAUUCCUGUCUGCAUCCCUGAACCCAUACCCAAAGCCAACCUCAUCCUCUCCCAUACCAGUCAUCAGGAAGAGGAAGACACUGGCCCAGGUCAGGUAGAAGCUGAGUGCCAGCUGGUAGGUCAUGCCUUCCUGCAGGUACCUGUGGGCCUGCAGCAGGUAGAACAGGAUACCCAGUACGAUGCUGGUUCCUGCAUGAGCACAGGUGUUAGGAGGCUGAGAAUCAGAUAUGUAAGGACUCCUUCCCAUAGUCAUGUGGCUGCCUGGCUCUGGCUCAUUAUUUCCCCACUUUCUUUAACCUCCCAGACCCUGUACCUUUGCUCCUAAGCAUGAAGAUGGGCUUCUGACCAAGUCCUGCUAGAGGACACUGAAAGGGCAAGCCUUGGGCUUUAACCAGGCAAUGUUCUCAUCCAUAUGAGCAAGGGCUUCAUGUUACUGGCCGUGGCCCUGUGCUGAGUCCUCCUCCCGCCCAUGGCCCUCUCCUCCUGGCCAGUGGUCCUCCGCCUGAACAUGGCCGACUUUGUCUUCAGUUUCCUCUGCCUCGGCAUUGGGCUCCUGAUUUCUCUUCAGCCUGACGCUCUUUUCAGUUAACGGCAAGGCGGUGCACCCAAGUCCGGUGGUGUCCUACCUGGUGACCUCCUACCUGUGCUGGGACGCCAGCGACUUGAUGCUGCACUCCGGAGCCGUGUCCUACCUAAGCCCAGUGGGCAUGUGAAGCAGAGGGCAGCCCUUGAAUGCGCGGCGGCUGAGCUACCGCGGGUGGGCCGUGCAGCAGGGCGCAGCGAGGCGGACAUCCAAACAGCGGAACUCAGACGCUGACUCCGAGCGCACCCCGGGCCUUCCCAUUUCAUACACCCUCGAGGAUGAGACCCAAGCACCUCCAAGGAAUAGCACCCGAGGUCUUCAGGACACCGACCGGUAGCCAUGGCCAGAUGCCCGGCCAACCCCUUCAGCGUGGCCACGCCCUGGAUAUUCGACCUCCCCUGAGGCCCCACCCCCUGAUAUCAGGCCACGCCCUCCGAGGGGACCGGUGGCAAACUCCAGCCCUCGCUCUAGGGCCCGCCCUUUGCGGCUUUGUCCCUGCCCACUGGGUCCUCACAGUACCUCCACCCCAGAGGCCCAGCAUCCCCUCCCGUUCUGCAGACACUUGUCCAGCGUCCCGCUGAGCUCGGCAGUGUGGCUAGUUUGUGUGGCCCUGCCCCUGGUGCCCAGCCAGGGUGGUCUGCAUGGAACUUCUUUCCCGGAGUUCCGGCCUCAGCUCCGAUGUCCACCCUUGUCCCCAGGUGGACACAGCACCGCCCAGCAUUUGGUGCAACUCCACCCUUCUGCAGAACGGGCCCCUCCCUGGGAAGGCAUGGCUUGCAAUAACAUCCCUCUGUACCUUUUCUGGCUUCCCCGCCACAAUAAAACCUCUCAGCCUCAGACCUUCCAUUGCCCCCCACCUCCCCACCAGGGCAGGGUCCAUCCUAGUGUGAGUGAACUGUUCUGGCGUCCCUGACUUGCCCUUUGGGA
rnacentral:lncRNA from 1 species